CCUACGGGCGGCAGCAGUAGGGAAUAUUGCUCAAUGGGGGAAACCCUGAAGCAGCAACGCCGCGUGGAGGAUGAAGGUUUUAGGAUUGUAAACUUCUUUUGUGAGAGAAGAUAAUGACGGUAUCUCUCUAAUAUGCACCGGCUAACUCCGUGUCAGCGGCCGCGGUGAUACGCAGGGUGCAAGCGUUACUCGGAAUUACUGUGCGUAAAGAGUGCGCAGGCGGGAGUGUAAGUCAGAUGUGAAAUCCUGUAGCUUAACUACAGAACUGCAUUUGAAACUAUUAGUCUAGAGUGUGGGAGAGGUAGGUGGAAUUCGUGGUGUAGGGGUAAAAUGCGUAGAUAUCAAGAGGAAUACUAAUUGCGAAGGCGACCUACUGGAAAACUACUGACGGUGAUGCACGAAAGCGUGGGGAGCAAACAGGAUUAGAGACCCGGGUAGUC
rnacentral:rRNA from 1 species